UGGCGGCUGAACAAAAACAGAGCAGUAAGAUUUCCUGACUACAUUUUCUCAGGGCCAUCCACUGGGAGUUAAGCUGACUAACGCUGUGAAAGCCCAGCCCAUUUCGAUAACAGCAGGCAUGGCAGG
rfam:Pteropus alecto contig57384, whole genome shotgun sequence.